UAGUCAAUGCUCGCAAGAGUGAACUAGCUAACUGAAAUCACAGGAUCCGCUACGUGUGGUGAAUGUUAUAACGUAAGGGAAAAAAAUGAUAUUACCUUACUAUUAGUGUUGUCCAAAACUGGUGCCAGAAGACUCGGUAAGGCCAGAGACGCAAACGUUAGUCGUCCUAAUCAGGCGUAAAGGGUAAGUAGGCUGCUUUAAAAGUUUAAUAUAAUAUUUUAAUUAGCUCUGUAUUAAAAAGUAAUAUUUGUAAUACAGUAAAAUAUAAAUGAAUUAAAGCUAGGAUCAAAUUGAGGAUAAUUAUAAAUAAUACUUAGUGUAGGGUUUAAAUCUGGUGAUACUAAGGGGAGUACUAACGGUGAAAGCUUUUUAUCUAGAAAUGAUUGACGCUGAGGAACGAAGGUGAGAAUAGGAAAUAGGAUUAGAUACCCAGAUACCUCUCACAGUCAACGAUGAAUGGUGGUUGUUAGUUAGUUUUAUUUAACUGAUAACGAUGUUAACACGAUAACCAUUCCGCCUUGCGAGUACGGUUGCAAAACUGAAACCAAAAAAAUUAGUCGGUCUCGAAGCAAACGAAGUGAAGCAUGUUAUUUAAU
rnacentral:rRNA from 1 species